GCAGCAUUUCAUCUUAUUAAAGGAACCUGUUUUAUAAUCGACAAUCCACGUUAAUUUUAACUUUAGAUUAUAAAUUUAUAUACCGCCAUCUAAAAAAUUAAUUUUAUAAUAAUAUUUUUAAUAAAAAAUAAAAAGUUAGGUCAAGGUGUAAUCUAUAUUUAAGUAAAUAAUGGGUUACAUUAAAAAUAAUUUAAGGAUUAAUAUAUUAAAAUAUUUUAUAAAAAAGGAUUUAAAAGUAAUAAAAUAAUAAUAUUUUAUUAUGAUUAAGAUAAUAAGUGUGCACACAUCGCCCGUCG
rnacentral:rRNA from 1 species